UAGGGGGAGAGGAGCUCCUGGGGAGAAAAAGUGCUGCACAUCCUCCCUUUGGAGGCUGGAAUUUACUAGAUUUUAGCCCUUAAUCCCUGUCCCUCAUUUUUUGAAAAAAAGAAUAAAGUCUUCACCCACUGAAGCAACUGUAGGCUUCUGCAGCAAGGGGAAGACUACAAUGUAGUCUUAUUUCUCCAGAAGUUAGGCCUUGUAAGAAUUCAGGCAAAACUAAUCCUAUCUUCCUCCAUUAUCCAGCACAUAAUGGCUCCCAAGGACUGAGGAUCUUCAGCAACCUAGAAGGCUGGAGAAGCAGGAACAGAUGUGUCCAGUGACUUCCACAGACCGGUGCUCCUGGAUGCUCCUGUGGCUCAUCUACCUCAAGCUGGGUGGCCCCUCUCUGCUGAGGACUGUUAGUGUAUGAAUCCCCUAAUUACUCAGUAAUGUGGCUUGGAUCAAGUAAGUCAAAAUUAUUUUUCUCUAUUAUGCACAGAUAUGCUUUUCUACAAAGAAAGUGCUUGGGAAGGACAAAUAUGCUUAAAGUACCCUUCACAUAUGAAGAGAGGAAAGAGAUUAACAGAAGACCUGAAUCUCAGGAUUCAUUGUGCCAACCUCCUGGAGGAUGCCUCAGUGGAGGCAAGGCCAAUGACCUGGAUGGGCCUUCUAAGAAAAAGGGAGGCAUUGUUGACCUCAUUGAAGAACUUGCCUAGUCUUGUCACUCUGGUUGAUGUCACCAGUAUCAAGGACUUCCAGAUGGCUGAAUGGGACAGAAAUAAUGAAAACACUAUACUCUCUUUACCCCUUCCAUUAUCAUGUCUUACCCUCAGCUGCUCGGACGAAUUACGCCCUGAGCUUCUCAGUAAAGGAUGUCGAGAGUUACACUACUGCUGUUGGAGGAAAUGAGGACACGGACACACAUAGAGGAAAGACCACGUGAGGACACAGGGAGAUGAUGACCAUCGACAAGCCAAGGAAACAGCCUCAGAAUAAACCAGCCUUGCCGACAGGUUGACCUCAGAGUUCCAGACUCCAGAACUGUGGGAAAACAAACGUACUCUGUCUUGACAGCCCUAGCAAAUUAAUAGUGUGCUUUAAGUGCAAUUAACAAAAACGUAUAGGUUAUGUCAAAUACAAUAGUUGUUGGAACCGGUCUCCACAGGCUAAAGAAACAAAACCAACACUCAGCAAACCAUCCAGUUGUGCUGUCAUCAGAGGAAAUGGGGAUGGCAGUGAGCAGAUCUGGGAGGGCGUCCAACGGUUACCAGACGCAAGCCAAGGAAGAUAGUAGGUUCAGGAUACCUUUUGAAGUGGUGCUGUUAAGAAUCUCCCUCAAAAGCUAGUCUGCUCCCAGGUGUUGCUGGCCAUGUGAGAGGGCAGGAUGUAAACUGAAACCAUAAAUGAGUUACAAGGAUCAUUUUCUCUGAACAGCAUUACAUCAAAGAUCAGAUGGUGCCAAAAGAUGAUGCACUCAGCUCCCUCUCUCUAGAGGCCUAGUCUUAGCGAUCCGCCUAACCCUGCGAGUGCUGUCUGGAGAUGGAGCACACCAUGGAGGAAAUGCCCUGCAACCAGAAGACAGAUAAAAAGACAGAACACUGGGCCAUUCAGAUAACAUAUGUCACCUGUGCGCACUCUGGAAAGCAGAAUUUCAAGGAGGCAGAGAAAGGAAAAGGAAAUCUCGCUGGCAACAAAACGAAAGUGUUUACAUGUGAAAUUAAUCGUCAGCGCAAAGAGCUUUCCCAGUCACUCUGUUCCACAAUAUAAUAUGCUGCUUGUUUAGCUGCUGAGUCUUUAAAAUUUUGAUUUCUAAGAAUAAUAGCAAAGAGUUUCGAGGGGAGCCACGAAUCAAGUCGGGAGCAAGCCACAAAAGGUUAACACAAUGAUCCAACUUUGCUUUGCCACCACUAUCUGAGACUGUUGUGUGAUUUUUCAGGCUUUGAUGGUGCCUGGUUUAAGGCAGGCUGCAGCGGCAGCUGGCUAAUUUGAGCGUGGUGAACACCGAGGUCAGCUGCAAACGUGUGUUGCGCAAACUCCUCCUCUCACCCCUGCCUCAUUCCUUUCCAACAGGAACAUGCUCAGCACAAAGCAAUCCACCUAAAGACUCCAUAAAUCCAAAAAAGGGAGUUACUGAUCGAGGAAUUCUCAGAUUUCUGCCAAGGCACCCUCCCCUGGGCUGGAGGUCAGCCUGGUACAGUAAUCCGAGCCAAACUGUGGACUGGACUCAAGGAAUUAAGUUGAAUGCUUCAAAUCUUGACUUUUAAUGGACGAUUUUUCUUUUCGGUGAUGAAGACAAAACAAAGUACAAACAGCUGAUAACAGCCCAAAGUAAACCAGAAGAAUAAGUACGAGAACAAAGCUUGGACACAAAUCUCAUAAGGGAUAUCUAAGGAGAGAUUUUUCCAAACAAAGGGAAAAAAUAAAGCAGCUUUUUAAAGCUCUGGUUUGAGAUUAAGCAGUUUGUGAAUGAACAAUAAGAAAGUAAAGGCCACAAAACAAGAUAUUUGCUCUUUUCAGCAGAAAAAAAAAAUACUGGCCUUUGUUAACUAGCAGCAAAACAAAAAAAAAGGGGGGGCCCCUCAGGCAUUUAAGCACAGCAUAAGUUUUUCCUUGACCCCAUGACCUCAACAAAUAUGUUAAUAAAAUCUUUUACCUCCCUGGAGUGGAACCAGACUAAAUAUUUACUUAACACAUUGGGUUUCUAAGUCUGGACCACCUUAUUCCUUCAUACAAAUUGGGAUUUACUUGUAAUUAAGAAAUUAGAAACACUAUAUUUUGCAAUGUUUCUCCUACUUUUAAGAUGAAAGAUGAGAAGGGAGGGGAAGAAGAAAAAGAAGGAAGGCCCUGGGGGUGGGGGCAGAAAGGGAGAAAAAGAAGAAAACUAUACUGCGCUCACUAUGACAAAGGGCACUUGUGAAUUUCUGCAUGGUAUUUUCUGUCACAAAUGAGGGUAAUGCUGCUGAUAUGCUUUCCAAUAUCAGACAUCUGGAGCUAGCAGGACUUUUUCCAAGCACAUUCCAAGGUUAAUAGGAAACAUCUCGUCUUGCUUUUAUUAGCUGGUUUAAGUAAUGUUAGGUAUGCUGAGUUUCACCUUCAAAUAACUAUAAGAAGUCUGAUUUCUACACACCAAGAAUGCCAUUUUUUUCUUUCCUCUUGUCCCAAAGUAUGUGCUACUCACGAAAACCUUAUGAAAAUUUUCACCAACAUAAAAGUCCUCCAAAAUCAGUUUCUUUUGUUAAAGGCUUCAAAGACUAGUAUUUUUUUUUUUUAUCUAGACCUAAGAAUUUUGGACUUUUCUUGCUCUAGGUGGAUGAUGAGAUAGCCAGUUGCUUUUGAGGAGUUUGUGGAAAUAUCAAAGCAUUCCUUUUGCUGACAAGUUCAAGACUGAAUUUUCCAGAAAGUGUGCAUUUUGUCCCCAAGUGCUCAUUCCCAAAGAAAUCACUCACUCUUCCCAUCGGUGUGCCCUCUUCUACUGGCAGCUGCAAAUCCUCCAGCCCAAGCCACUCUGCAGCUCCACGCUUGCCCCACACUGCCUUGGUCAUUUAAAGACUGCUACCUCUUCAACAGUAUCAUAACAGAUCACCAAAUUUGGAGGGAAAAAGUCAUUUCUAUUGCAAGAGGCUAUAAUUAAAAGUAGUUUAAAUCAGAUGCUAGCUGAUUGUCUUAUAAGUUUGGCUUUUAAAAAAGGAAAAAUACAGUCAGAUCUGUACCCACAUGCUGUAAGUGCUCAGGUCAUAGAGAGGCCACUAAGAAGUUUCCAUCACCUGUCCUCUGCGAAAACUGGCAAAAAACUAAAAGUACCAGAGGAUAAGAGUAAGAUUAGGAUGGAUGUGCCCCCGUGCACCACCUGGAAUUUCAACCUCACUGGCAGGAGGCAUGGUCUGAUUUAGGAGGGAUGAGGGCUCAGUCAGGCAGUACUGUGGGAAGCAAACAAGACCCAAAGGGGCAGCCACCCACCCAAAUUGAUGUAGGGUUUCAGGGCUGGGAGUCACCGAAGACACACAUACAUCAAGAGGGUGAAGGUAACUGCAAAAGGAAGAGGAAUGCCAACUUGGGAGGCAAAAUUACCUCACUUAUAUUCUAAUGGACAUGAAAAAGGUAGUAUUAGAAACUCAAGGGGUGCCUGGGUGGCUCAGUAGGUUGAGAGUCCAACUUCAGCCCAGGUCAUGAUCUCAAGGUUUGUGAGUUCGAGUCCUGCAUCGGUCUCUGUGCUAACAGCUUAGAGCCUGCAGCCUGUUUCGGAUUCUGUGUCGUCUUCUCUCUCGGCCCCUCCCCAACUCAUGCUCUGUCUCUCUCUCUC